AGGGUACAUACGCACGAGGUGGAGCACAGCGAAAGAAGGCAGCUGAAAAACGUACCAUCCAGGGCACCGUAGCACUUCCUCCAUAAGCAUUCUGAGCACUUCUGUAUUGAGGUUUAUGGCUGAUAAAUUUGCUGUGGUUUUGGAUGCCUUGUUGCUCUGUUGGUGGACUUUGUGAUAUCAAGCACAAGAAGUCAUGUCUCUUCCCAGAUGUUUAGCUUUGAAAGCAGCAGCGUUUGAGAAUUCAAGUUAUGUGUGGACUUCACAGCAAGUCAUCUUAAAAUCUGAAUGCUUAGAGUGCAACUUCAGCUCUACGUACAGUUCGGAGAUGGAUUUGCACCAGCUAAUGGUUCCCGACUCAGAGGGCUGUGAUUUUCUGGCGCUUGCUGUCACAGGAGGCUGCGGAGGCAAACAGUAUUGGAUGUUCAGACAGGGAGUACGCAAGUUCGUAGGCACCGGGUACGCAAAUGGGUGCUGGAAGGGCUGUUUGAUACGACAGUUCUGGAUGCUCUGGAAAUACGAGGGGAACAGACCAAAGAGGUGGCUUGAUUUGGAAGUUCUGCUUAAAUAGCAUCUUAUUGCCGCUCAAAGGCAGAACCGGUCGGUUCCCCUGGACCAGGAAUCAGAGCCUGUAGGUGUUUUGUAAGCCUUUACGUCUAGGGUAUAUUUCAGUAUAAGUAAUUCGAUAGAUGUCUACAAAUGUGUUUAAAAAAAAAUGCAUCCAUGAAAACGUUAUGGAAAAAUUGUCAUGGAAGCAAAUAAUCGCUAGAAUAAAAUUGUAUUGUUUUAUUUGGGAGGGGGUGAUUGGAUUCUAAAGUGAAAAUAAUGAACCCAUAUCUCCCCAAAACAGCCAUUUAAGGUAUGUGUUACGAUGCCUAUUACACUCUGUAAAGUCAUUAAAAUGAUCACUUUCAGACUGUAAAA